rnacentral:rRNA from 1 species
UACGAAGGGUGCGAGCGUUGCCCGGAUUUAUUGGGCGUAAAGGGCGCGUAGGCGGCCACGCACGUCCGUUGUGAAAUCGCCCGGCUCAACUGGGCGGGGUCAGCGGAUACGGUGUGGCUCGAGCAAGCUAGGGGGCAAUGGAAUUCCCGGUGUAGUGGUGGAAUGCGUAGAUAUCGGGAGGAACACCAGUGGCGAAGGCGGUUGCCUGGAGCUUUGCUGACGCUGAGGCGCGAAAGCGUGGGGAGCGAUCCGG